CCUACGGGUGGCUGCAGUGGGGAAUAUUGGACAAUGGGCGAAAGCCUGAUCCAGCCAUGCCGCGUGUGUGAAGAAGGCCUUCGGGUUGUAAAGCACUUUCAGUGGGGAAGAAAGCCUUGGGGCUAAUACCCUCGAGGAAGGACAUCACCCACAGAAGAAGCACCGGCUAACUCCGUGCCAGCAGCCGCGGUAAUACGGAGGGUGCGAGCGUUAAUCGGAAUUACUGGGCGUAAAGCGCGCGUAGGCGGUCUGAUAAGCCGGUUGUGAAAGCCCCGGGCUCAACCUGGGAACGGCAUCCGGAACUGUCAGGCUAGAGUGCAGGAGAGGAAGGUAGAAUUCCCGGUGUAGCGGUGAAAUGCGUAGAGAUCGGGAGGAAUACCAGUGGCGAAGGCGGCCUUCUGGACUGACACUGACGCUGCGGUGCGAAAGCGUGGGUAGCAAACAGGAUUAGAUACCCUUGUAGUC
rnacentral:rRNA from 1 species